UACGUAGGGUGCGAGCGUUGCCCGGAUUUAUUGGGCGUAAAGGGCGCGUAGGCGGCUCGGCACGUCCGUUGUGAAAUCGCCCGGCUCAACUGGGCGGGGUCAGCGGAUACGGUCGAGCUUGAGCAAGCUAGGGGGCAAUGGAAUUCCCGGUGUAGUGGUGGAAUGCGUAGAUAUCCGGAGGAACACCGGUGGCGAAGGCGGUGGUCUGGGCCGGCACUGACGCUGAGGAGCGAAAGCGUGGGGAGCAAACAGG
rnacentral:rRNA from 1 species